UACACGACCGUACCGCAAACCGACACUGGUGCGCGAGAUGAGUAUUCUAAGGCGCUUGAGAGAACUCAGGAGAAGGAACUCGGCAAAUUGACACCGUAACUUCGGAAGAAGGUGUGCCUUUAGUAGGUGAAGGGAUUUACUCCUGGAGCCCAAUGAGGUUGCAAAAAAUCGGUGGCUGCGACUGUUUAAUAAAGACACAGCACUCUGCAAACACGAAAGUGGACGUAUAGGGUGUGACGCCUGCCCGGUGCUGGAAGAUUAAAUGAUGGGGUGCAAGCUCUUGAUUGAAGUCCCAGUAAACGGCGGCCGUAACGAUAACGGUCCUAAGGUAGCGAAAUUCCUUGUCGGGUAAGUUCCGACCUGCACGAAUGGCGUAACGAUGGCCACACUGUCUCCUCCUGAGACUCAGCGAAGUUGAAAUGUUUGUGAUGAUGCAAUCUCCCCGCGGAAAGACGGAAAGACCCCAUGAACCUUUACUGUAGCUUUGUAUUGGACUUUGAACAGAUCUGUGUAGGAUAGGUGGGAGGCUUUGAAGUAGGGUCGCUAGAUCUUAUGGAGCCAACGUUGAAAUACCACCCUGGUGUGUUUGAGGUUCUAACCUAGGCCCGUUAUCCGGGCUGGGGACAGUGCAUGGUAGGCAGUUUGACUGGGGCGGUCUCCUCCCAAAGCGUAACGGAGGAGUUCGAAGGUACGCUAGUUACGGUCGGACAUCGUGACGAUAGUGCAAUGGCAUAAGCGUGCUUAACUGCGAGACUGACAAGUCGAGCAGAUGCGAAAGCAGGACAUAGUGAUCCGGUGGUUCUGUAUGGAAGGGCCAUCGCUCAACGGAUAAAAGGUACUCUGGGGAUAACAGGCUGAUACCGCCCAAGAGUUCAUAUCGACGGCGGUGUUUGGCACCUCGAUGUCGGCUCAUCUCAUCCUGGGGCUGUAGCCGGUCCCAAGGGUAUGGCUGUUCGCCAUUUAAAGAGGUACGUGAGCUGGGUUUAAAACGUCGUGAGACAGUUUGGUCCCUAUCUUCCGUGGGCGCUGCAGAUUUGAGGAAGCCUGCUCCUAGUACGAGAGGACCGGAGUGGACACACCUCUGGUGUAUCGGUUGUCACGCCAGUGGCAUUGCCGAGUAGCUAAGUGUGGAAGAGAUAACCGCUGAAAGCAUCUAAGCGGGAAACUCGUUUCAAGAUGAGAUCUGCCGGGGCCUUGAGCCCCCUGAAGAGUCGUUCAAGACCAGGACGUUGAUAGGUCAGGUGUGGAAGCGCAGUAAUGCGUUAAGCUAACUGAUACUAAUUGCUCGUGCGGCUUGAUC
rnacentral:rRNA from 1 species